rnacentral:rRNA from 1 species
UACGUAGGGUGCGAGCGUUGUCCGGAAUUAUUGGGCGUAAAGAGCUCGUAGGCGGCUUGUCGCGUCGACUGUGAAAACCCGUGGCUCAACCAUGUGGUCUGCAGUCGAUACGGGCAGGCUAGAAUUCGGUAGGGGAGACUGGAAUUCCUGGUGUAGCGGUGAAAUGCGCAGAUAUCAGGAGGAACACCGGUGGCGAAGGCGGGUCUCUGGGCCGAUAUUGACGCUGGAGGAGCGAAAGCGUGGGGAGCGAACAGG